CAAUGAGAGUUAUGAGGUAAGAAUGGAAAAAAUUGCAGAAAAGUGAAGAAAAAAGAAAAAUACCGAGGUCCGGAAGGUACGUUACUAUUUCCCCUUUAUUUUUCUCCUAUUUUCCCCCUAUUUUUCUUCUUCUUUUUCUUCUUCUUCUUCACUUCUCCAGCACGGAAGAGGCUAGGGCAAAAAAUGGCAGUAGUCUCGGGUUGAAAAAGAGCAGAAAAGGGGGCUGGAUGGAAGGAGAUUUUAUUUGUUAAAGAACAGGGUCCAAAACGACGUCGUUUUGGUCCCUGUUCACUUAAAUGAACAGGCUCCAAAACGACGCCGUUUUGAGCACUGUGCACUUAAGUGCACAGUGACCAAAACGACGUCGUUUUGGUCACUGUUCACUUAAGUGCACAGUGCUCAAACGGCGUCGUUUUGGGCCGUUAAAAUAAAAAAAAAAACUAAAAAAACCCUAGGGCUGCUGCUGUCUCUGCAACCCGACUGAAGAAGAAGAAGAAGAAGAAGAAGAAGAAGAAGAAGAAGAAGAAGAAG
rnacentral:lncRNA from 1 species